rnacentral:rRNA from 1 species
AUGACUUCCGGAAAAAUUCAAAAAAUCCUUACUUCUCAUUGUGCACAAGCGGUCACCAAAGCAAUCAAAGAAGAGAUGGGUGAUUGUCUUUUCUCCGUUCUUAUUGAUGAGUGCCGUGAUAUAUCGGUGAAAGAACAAAUGGCCGUGGUAAUCAGGUAUUUGAGCAAACAAGGAGAGACUAUUGAACGCUUUUUAGCUAUUAAGCAUGUUCCGGACACAACAUCUUCUUCUUUAAAGAAGGCAUUGUUGGAGGUUUUUGCUAAAAUGGUCUAG